AACGAACGCUGGCGGCAUGCCUAACACAUGCAAGUCGAACGAGAUCUUCGGGUCUAGUGGCGCACGGGUGCGUAACGCGUGGGAAUCUGCCCUUUGGUUCGGAAUAACAGUUGGAAACGACUGCUAAUACCGGAUGAUGACGAAAGUCCAAAGAUUUAUCGCCAGAGGAUGAGCCCGCGUAGGAUUAGCUAGUUGGUGUGGUAAAGGCGCACCAAGGCGACGAUCCUUAGCUGGUCUGAGAGGAUGAUCAGCCACACUGGGACUGAGACACGGCCCAGACUCCUACGGGAGGCAGCAGUGGGGAAUAUUGGACAAUGGGCGAAAGCCUGAUCCAGCAAUGCCGCGUGAGUGAUGAAGGCCUUAGGGUUGUAAAGCUCUUUUACCCGGGAUGAUAAUGACAGUACCGGGAGAAUAAGCUCCGGCUAACUCCGUGCCAGCAGCCGCGGUAAUACGGAGGGAGCUAGCGUUGUU
rnacentral:rRNA from 1 species